UGGGGGAGUGCAGGAUCCUGGGCUGUGUCCCCCAGUGCCCGGGGCCCUGGGGCCUGUGCUGCUGGGAUGGCGCUUCUGGGGCUGCGCAGCCCCCU
rnacentral:pre_miRNA from 1 species